GUGUCAGCCGCCGCGGUAAGACGGAGGGGGCUAGCGUUGUUCGGAAUGACUGGGCGUAAAGAGCGCGUAGGCGGUUUAUUAAGUGAGGCGUGAAAGCCCUGGGCUUAACCUAGGAGGUGCGCUUCAUACUGGUAAGCUAGAGUACGAGAGAGGAAAGCGGAAUUCCUAGUGUAGAGGUGAAAUUCGUAGAUAUUAGGAAGAACACCAGUGGCGAAGGCGGCUUUCUGGCUCGUAACUGACGCUGAGGCGCGAAAGCGUGGGGAGCAAACAGGAUUAGAUACCCUGGUAGUCCACGCCGUAAACGAUGAGUGCUAGACGUUGGAGGUUAAAUCUUCAGUGUCGCAGCUAACGCAUUAAGCACUCCGCCUGGGGAGUACGGUCGCAAGAUUAAA
rnacentral:rRNA from 1 species